rfam:Clohesyomyces aquaticus strain CBS 115471 BCR34scaffold_82, whole genome shotgun sequence.
GACAACGUGCCAGAGUGGUUAAUGGGUAUGACUCGAACGCUCGCCUACUAGAUAUCAUAUGCCUUCGGGCGCGCAGGUAAGUGCUGAAAUAAUUCCUACAUCCUUUCUAGAUAUUAAUUACCUAUGAAGGUUCGAAUCCUGCCGUUGUCG